GGCUUUGUUCACAGAAAUACUCAUUGUACAGGUCGUCGUCCUGUAGAAGGCUGUCUUCUGAGCGCACGGCCAUUACCGCCUUCACGGGAAGCAGCUAUGAGUGUUCAUGAAUGGUCCUCAAGAAUACAUAGCUCCUGGGAGAGUAACCUGGUGGGAAACCCCGUCUAUUCAGCUCUGGGGAUGUCAGGAUCCAUGCUGGGCAGUGCCUUGUUGGUCAAACGGAUGUUUGAGUCACCCAUAUUCUUGUGGUGUAGGACCAUGGGCUCAGCAGCAGAGGUACGUGGAACUUCUGGGUCUCCUUUGUAAUAGUGAAAACCACCUGUGAGAAGCAGAGAAGGUUCUUGAAGACACUGAAGAUGGUGAGUCCUUCCUGCAAUAGCCCCUGGGUCUUCCAGACAGCAGGAGGUCAGGUGCCAUGCCGGCUAAGAAGCGAGAGAUGCUUAUAUAAGAUCUGAUGAUACCGUUUGAAUAGUGUCUCCUACAAGAGAUGUUAGUUGGUAGGCUUUGGGGGAUGUGAUUUGACACUGAGGGCUCUGAUCUGGUUGAAUCAACUGGUUAAACUUUUGGGAUUAACUGGAUCCAUCAUGUGAUACACCAUUAGUAGGUAUUGAAACUUGGAGG
rnacentral:lncRNA from 1 species